rnacentral:rRNA from 1 species
UAGGGAAUCUUCCGCAAUGGGCGAAAGCCUGACGGAGCAACGCCGCGUGAGUGAUGAAGGUCUUCGGAUCGUAAAACUCUGUUAUUAGGGAAGAACAAAUGUGUAAGUAACUAUGCACGUCUUGACGGUACCUAAUCAGAAAGCCACGGCUAACUACGUGCCAGCAGCCGCGGUAAUACGUAGGUGGCAAGCGUUAUCCGGAAUUAUUGGGCGUAAAGCGCGCGUAGGCGGUUUUUUAAGUCUGAUGUGAAAGCCCACGGCUCAACCGUGGAGGGUCAUGGGAAACUGGAAGACUUGAGUGAAGAAGAGGAAAGUGGAGUUCCAUGUGUAGCGGUGAAAUGCGCAGAGAUAGGGAGGAACACCAGUGGCGAAGGCGACUUUCUGGUCGGUAACUGACGCUGAUGUGCGAAAGCGUGGGGAUCAAACAGG